rnacentral:rRNA from 1 species
UACAGAGGGUGCGAGCGUUAAUCGGAAUUACUGGGCGUAAAGGGUGCGUAGGUGGAUACUCAAGUCAAAGGUGAAAGCCCAGGGCUCAACCUUGGAAUUGCCUUCAAAACUGAUAGCCUAGAGUAUGGAAGAGGUAAGUGGAACUCCGAGUGUAGAGGUGAAAUUCGUAGAUAUUCGGAAGAACACCAGUGGCGAAGGCGACUUACUGGUCCAUGACUGACGCUGAGGCCCGAAAGCGUGGGGAGCAAACAGG